GGUGAAAAGCACCCCGGCGAGGGGAGUGAAAUAGAUCCUGAAACCCUGCGCUUCCGGCCGGUCGGAGCCCCCACGAUUAAGUGAUGGGGUGACGGCGUGCCUUUUGUAGAAUGAGCCGACGAGUGAGCCGUGCGAGCGAGGCUAAGCCAGGGACAGGCGGAGCCGGAGCGAAAGCGAGUCCGAAAGGGCGGCAAGUUGCGUUCAGUUGACCCGAAACCGGGUGAUCUACCCUUGGGCAGGGUGAAGCGCGCGGAACACGCGCGUGGAGGCCCGAACCCGUGUCUGUUACAAAAGGCAGGGAUGACCUGAGGGUAGGGGUGAAAUGCCAAGCGAACCCGGAGAUAGCUGGUUCUCCCCGAAAUGCAUUUAGGUGCAGCCUUGGACGAGACCACCAUGGAGGUAGCGCACUGGUUCGGCGAUGGGGCUUCCCGCUUACUGACCCGUAUCAAACGUCGAAUGCCGUGGAGGACAAUCCAGGAGUGAGACUGUGGGAGCUAAGUUCCAUGGUCGAGAGGGAAACAGCCCAGACCGCCAGCUAAG
rnacentral:rRNA from 1 species